rnacentral:rRNA from 1 species
UACGUAGGGGGCAAGCGUUGUCCGGAUUUAUUGGGCGUAAAGAGCGUGUAGGCGGUUCGGUAGGUCCGUUGUGAAAACUCGAGGCUCAACCUCGAGACGCCCAUGGAAACCCUCGAACUAGAGUCCGGAAGAGGAGAAUGGAAUUCCUGGUGUAGCGGUGAAAUGCGCAGAUAUCAGGAAGAACACCCGUGGCUAAGGCGGUUCUCUAGUACGGUACUGACGCUGAGACGCGAAAGCGUGGGGAGCGAACAGG